rnacentral:rRNA from 1 species
UUCGGAUUGUAGUCUGCAACCCGGCUACAUGAAGCUGGAAUCGCUAGUAAUCGCGGAUCAGAAUGCCGCGGUGAAUACGUUCCCGGGUCUUGUACACACCGCCCGUCACUCCAUGGGAGUCGGAAAUGCCCGAAGUCUGUGACCCAACCUCAGGGAGGGAGCAGCCGAAGGCAGGUCGGAUGACUGGGGUGAAGUCGUAACAAGGUAUC